rnacentral:rRNA from 1 species
GAUGAACGCUGGCGGCGUGCUUAACACAUGCCAGUCGAACGAUGAAGCCCAGCUUGCUGGGUGGAUUAGUGGCGAACGGGUGAGUAACACGUGAGUAACCUGCCCUUAACUCUGGGAUAAGCCUGGGAAACUGGGUCUAAUACCGGAUAGGAGCUUCCACCGCAUGGGGGGUGUUGGAAAAAUUUUUCGGUUUUGGAUGGACUCGCGGCCUAUCGGCUUGUUUGUGAGGUAUUGGCUCACCAAGGCGACGACGGGUAGCCGGCCUGAGAGGGUGACCGGCCACACUGGGACUGAGACACGGCCCAGACUCCUACGGGAGGCAGCAGUGGGGAAUAUUGCACAAUGGGCGAAAGCCUGAUGCAGCGACGCCGCGUGAGGGAUGACGGCCUUCGGGUUGUAAACCUCUUUCAGUAGGGAAGAAGCGAAAGUGACGGUACCUGCAGAAGAAGCACCGGCUAACUACGUG